AGCCAGGGAAAUUUCUGCCGUGCUGGGCCAUGCCCACCCACAUUCACUAUCUCAGGAUCAUGCCAUGGGGGGCUGCUGAAAUGCUGUUCAAAGAUUAUACCCCAAUAAGAAGAUAAGGAUUUCUGGGUCAACGCCAUUAUACCAGCAACAUUUCCACUGCCUUGAGGAGGUGUUUUUGAUGGAUUCCUCCUCAGUCUAAACCUUCCUGCAAAUGAGCAUUGAAAGAAGCUUCCAGAGGAUACAUCCUAUUAGCACACUGCUUCUGGAGAUCUAGGCUUUUCCUUGCUGAAGUCACUCCCUUUUUUGCUUUUAAUUAACACACACAUACUUUGGCACCUUCACCACCUAUUCCAGCCUACCUCACGGGGACGUUCAGAUUUUCAAUCAGUUCAAGUUCAGGCUGUUCUUGGAGGAUGUGGAGCUAUACAUGUAUGUAGAUAUGAUAUUAUCUUAUUCACGCACAGAAAUAAAUGUCUUCUAAAGCCAAUAA